rnacentral:rRNA from 1 species
AACGAACGCUGGCGGCAGGCUUAACACAUGCAAGUCGAACGCACCUUUCGGGGUGAGUGGCAGACGGGUGAGUAACGCGUGGGAAUCUACCCUUCUCUACGGGAUAGCUCCGGGAAACUGGAAUUAAUACCGUAUACGUCCUGAGGGAGAAAGAUUUAUCGGGGAAGGAUGAGCCCGCGUUGGAUUAGCUAGUUGGUGGGGUAAAGGCCUACCAAGGCGACGAUCCAUAGCUGGUCUAAGAGGAUGAUCAGCCACAUUGGGAAUGAGACACGGCCCAAACUCCGACGGGAGGCAGCAGUGGGGAAUAUUGGACAAUGGGCGCAAGCCUGAUCCAGCCAUGCCGCGUGAGUGAUGAAGGCCCUAGGGUUGUAAAGCUCUUUCAGUGGGGACGAUAAUGACGGUACCCACAGAAGAAGCCCCGGCUAACUUCGUG